rnacentral:rRNA from 1 species
GACGAACGCUGGCGGCGUGCUUAACACAUGCAAGUCGAACGGAAAGGCCCUGCUUGCAGGGUACUCGAGUGGCGAACGGGUGAGUAACACGUGGGUGCUCUGCCCUGCACUUCGGGAUAAGCCUGGGAAACUGGGUCUAAUACCGGAUAGGAGCCAUUUUUAGUGUGAUGGUUGGAAAGUUUUUUCGGUGUAGGAUGAGCUCGCGGCCUAUCAGCUUGUUGGUGGGGUAAUGGCUUACCAAGGCGGCGACGGGUAGCCGGCCUGAGAGGGUGGACGGCCACAUUGGGACUGAGAUACGGCCCAGACUCCUACGGGAGGCAGCAGUGGGGAAUAUUGCACAAUGGGCGCAAGCCUGAUGCAGCGACGCCGCGUGGGGGAUGACGGCCUUCGGGUUGUAAACUCCUUUCGCUAGGGACGAAGCUUUUUGUGACGGUACCUAGAGAAGAAGCACCGGCUAACUACGUG